GCUUUCCUAGUCGCUCCCGUCUCAGUGACUGUUGGCAGGGCCUCAGGUGGCCAUCCAGUCCAACCCCUGGCCAAGCAGGGCAACCCUGAGCCAGCUGCCCAAAAGCAUGGCCAGUUUGUGCCCAUUGACUGUAAUCCUWUCCCAGGGAACGACUCAGUUCCCUCCCAUCUUCUGAGGAAGUCUUCUUCAUCCCCUCCCAUCAGACAUGACAUGGUCAGUGAGUAACUGAAGAAAGACAUCAACUGUCUGCUAAACAAAACCUGCAUGUUGUAAAAAACAUGGAAAAUGAGGAAAGUGACUGCAACAUUCUGGUAAGGUUCCCAUGCCUCACCCACUGCGAUACGAGAUUAAAGUACAAACUAAGUAGAAAAUAGACCUGCAAGGCUUCAAAUGUCACUACAGGAAUAUGAUCAACUAUGUCUGAAUGAAUAAUGKAGUAUCUCAGUUCUGGAGCUUAGCCAGGAUAGAUGUCUCAUCAAGAGCAAACUUGUUCCAUGUAACAUUAAAUGACUCCAAAAAGAUGUGUGAACUGCAAGGCCC